UAAAAAGAAAGAAACCCUGAUUCUAUGACUGAUGCAAGACAUGUGAGUUCCUCACCUGCUGUCAGCAUCCAGGCUGUAUCCACCAUGUCUCUUUCACACCUCGGAAGAACGUUUGUCCAGGAAGCACUUCCUCAGAUCCAUCAGAGCAAGGAUCUUUGUUUUGCAUACUGUUACAUCCUCAGCACCCAGAACAGAGCUUGGCACAAAGCAGAUGCUCAAUACAUAUUUGCUGAAUGCCUGAGUGAAUGAAUGAAUGAAACAAAUCCCAGUUCCCAGUAACCAGAGAUGUCGCUAUGGUGCUGAAGAACAGAGGAAAAGUCAGCAGCAAGAAACUCUGGGAAGAAAAAUGAACUGGAUGGUAUAGGCCAAUGGGGGUGAGAUUUCUGAGCCAGUGUUCCAGGAGGUCAGAACCGUUUCUCUCCGCAGGGUUUCCCUCACCUUUGAUGGGGCUUGUUGCCAGUGGUGGGGGGAGAUUGAAGCUACUUGUGGCACCCAGGUUAAAUCACCAUCCCCAUGGAGUUCGAUAAGUACCUCUGCGGGAAGACUGACCAGGAGGAGACAGACCAUCUCCUGGGCUGGAUUUGCAGCUGAAACCAGUAACCAGCAGACCUCUGUCAUUGCACUUAUUCCAGCACUUAUGUGUGCAGAGGAAUGAGGAACUGUGAUCCCAGGAGAGAAGGCAGAGGACCUCAAGAAUCACGCGCAAUACCUUGGGGCUUUCCAGGUGUGUCCGGAUUGAAAGAUGAACCCCAUGCUGCCUGGUGACUUGUUUGUGGCACCUAUACAACAUCCUUCGUGUGCCACAGCGAAGUCACAUGCAGUAGCACUUCAUUAUUUUAAUUAAGCUUAUUG